ensembl:lncRNA
CCCAGUUGUUUUUCAUCUGACAUUCCCUGAGAAACCUUGUCUACUCCACCAGUGCUAGAUAGAGUACAUAUUUUCAAGUCUCUAAAAUAGAGAUUCAUCUUAAAAAUGACAGUCUCAAUGUACUAUGGACCAGAGUUAGCCAUAGUGUGAUUGUUCUCAGGACACUUUCUAGGAUUUGGGAGGAAAACCUUCCCCUGACCUCUCCCCAUGACAUCCUCAGCCUCUGCCCUUGCAGAGGGACUGUCACUAGGAUGAUGAGCUCAUUUCAUGGGGAGUAAUGAAUGCAGGGCUUUCUAGGAAACUUCUAAUUGGCCCUAAGAGUGAUGAUACAUUGGAAAUGACAGACAUGAUGCAUAGCCUGUUUUUAUCUCCUUAAUUUUCUCUCAUCUUACCUUGCUUCCUUUAUUAUCAGUAGACGUUUCUGAUGCAUAGUAAUCACAACUGAACUGCAGGUUGGUACAAAUCCCUGUGGCAUCUUGAGCCUUUUCCACCCUUCCAGCCUCCUCCCACUCAGCCCUCGCACAGCUUUGAAGGGAAUUGUCUGAUAAGUUUCAUUUUUUUAUUGUUAAUGCUUGGGGUGGGAGUUCACAUGCAUUUUCACAUUGAUCAUAUAUAUCUCAACGUGCUUGGAUUUAGUAUUCAGUUGUAACACAAUUUUUGUUUGUUCCUUUGCAUUUUUUAUAGACAAGAUUAUGUUUGGAGCCAAUAGAUGUUGUUUGGCUUGUUUUCACAUGGAAAAUCAUAAGAAAUAUGAUGCCUUCUAUUUCCUUUUCUCUUCUGAUAGCUCUGAUGGCAGCCUCCAGUACAAUGUUGAGUAGAAGUGGCAAGAAUGAGCAUCUUUCUCUGAUUUUCUAUGUUCAAAAAACAGUGAAUUCUAAUCACAGUCACAGGAGCACAGAAUAGGACCCUUCUCCAUGUGAGCCUUCAGUGCACAGUCAAGCCCUGACCAUGACCACAUCUGGAUUCCUCACCCCGAAGAAGCUUACAGUGUUUGUUAGAGAACAACAGAGGAAUCAAGAGAAGGAGGAAGAGAAGAAGAAAAGCAGGAAGGGAGAAAAGAAAUAAUGAAGCGCUGCCACCAUGUGAGCAACUUCCCUCAGCCAAGACCCACCCUUCCUUGGAGCUCCCCACCUUAGGCUGAAAACGUGAGCCAGGCUGACCCUGAACUCCAGGGCUGAAGUGAUCCUCCUGCCUCCAGCUCCAAAGUAGCAGAAUCUCCAGAUUUUCCCUGCCUAAUACGGGCCCAGAAAGCCUAUAGCCCAGGUGCUGACCCUACAGAUGUGUUUCAGCCCCGCCCACAGAAGCAGCAGGAGGGCUCUUUCUCUGGACUUUGUUCAACGUGAUUAUCACAGAACCAGUUUUCCCGUCCUUCUGAGUUGUCCUCAGAUUUUGCUUCUUGUUACUGUCACAGCACCGGCUCUGCCUUCCUGCAUUGCUCAGUGGCCUCCCACCCUGUCGAAGUCCACAGUCUGGGAGGGGAAGAAAGUGUAACUGUGGAUCUACUCACCGAUGGGCCCUGUUGCUCCUUCCCUCAGUCCCAAGAUGGUGUGUGCCCUGAGUCUGCGGAGAGUGUGGUGGAUAAACUAAUGGUCAACUUGAAACACGCAGCUGAACUGAGGACACAUAACUUACAGGAUUAUUUUAUAAUAUUCACCCAAAAAGUCAAAUGCAGAUGAGUGCAAGAAAUCUGUCCACAUGCUAGAGACCUAAAGAAUCCAGCCAAGAGCCUAGAUCCCAUGGACAAUGUCCUUGAAAUAAAUAGGACACACGUGCAUAAAUA